rnacentral:rRNA from 1 species
UACGGAGGGUGCAAGCGUUAUCCGGAUUCACUGGGUUUAAAGGGUGCGUAGGCGGGUAGGUAAGUCAGUGGUGAAAUCUUCGAGCUUAACUCGGAAACUGCCUUUGAUACUAUCUAUCUUGAAUAUUGUGGAGGUAAGCGGAAUAUGUCAUGUAGCGGUGAAAUGCUUAGAUAUGACAUAGAACACCUAUUGCGAAGGCAGCUUACCACGCAUAUAUUGACGCUGAGGCACGAAAGCGUGGGGAUCAAACAGG